GUGGGGAAUAUUGGACAAUGGGCGCAAGCCUGAUCCAGCCAUGCCGCGUGUGUGAAGAAGGCCUUUUGGUUGUAAAGCACUUUAAGCGAGGAGGAGGCCCCUUUAGUUAAUACCUAAAGAGAGUGGACGUUACUCGCAGAAUAAGCACCGGCUAACUCUGUGCCAGCAGCCGCGGUAAUACAGAGGGUGCGAGCGUUAAUCGGAUUUACUGGGCGUAAAGCGUGCGUAGGCGGCUUUUUAAGUCGGAUGUGAAAUCCCUGAGCUUAACUUAGGAAUUGCAUUCGAUACUGGAAAGCUAGAGUAUGGGAGAGGAUGGUAGAAUUCCAGGUGUAGCGGUGAAAUGCGUAGAGAUCUGGAGGAAUACCGAUGGCGAAGGCAGCCAUCUGGCCUAAUACUGACGCUGAGGUACGAAAGCAUGGGGAGCAAACAGGAUUAGAAACCCCUGUAGUCC
rnacentral:rRNA from 1 species